rnacentral:miRNA from 1 species
UUCUUCUCAGGGUUUACAUGUU